rnacentral:rRNA from 1 species
UAGAGUUUGAUCCUGGCUCAGAUUGAACGCUGGCGGCAUGCCUUACACAUGCAAGUCGAACGGCAGCACGGGGGCAACCCUGGUGGCGAGUGGCGAACGGGUGAGUAAUACAUCGGAACGUGUCCUGGAGUGGGGGAUAGCCCGGCGAAAGCCGGAUUAAUACCGCAUACGCUCUAUGGAGGAAAGCGGGGGACCUUCGGGCCUCGCGCUCAAGGGGCGGCCGAUGGCGGAUUAGCUAGUUGGUAGGGUAAAGGCCUACCAAGGCGACGAUCCGUAGCUGGUCUGAGAGGACGACCAGCCACACUGGGACUGAGACACGGCCCAGACUCCUACGGGAGGCAGCAGUGGGGAAUUUUGGACAAUGGGGGCAACCCUGAUCCAGCAAUGCCGCGUGUGUGAAGAAGGCCUUCGGGUUGUAAAGCACUUUUGUCCGGAAAGAAAUCCUCUGGGUUAAUACCUCGGGGGGAUGACGGUACCGGAAGAAUAAGCACCGGCUAACUACGUGCCAGCAGCCGCGGUAAUACGUAGGGUGCGAGCGUUAAUCGGAAUUACUGGGCGUAAAGCGUGCGCAGGCGGUUUGCUAAGACCGAUGUGAAAUCCCCGGGCUUAACCUGGGAACUGCAUUGGUGACUGGCAAGCUAGAGUGUGGCAGAGGGGGGUAGAAUUCCACGUGUAGCAGUGAAAUGCGUAGAGAU